rnacentral:rRNA from 1 species
UAAAUAGCCCGGUCGACUUUGGUUGGUCGCUGGCUUCUUAGAGGGACUAUCGGCGUUUAGCCGAUGGAAGUUUGAGGCAAUAACAGGUCUGUGAUGCCCUUAGAUGUUCUGG